CCGAAUAGGGGAGCCGAAGGGAAACCGAGUCUUAACUGGGCGUUAAGUUGCAGGGUAUAGACCCGAAACCCGGUGAUCUAGCCAUGGGCAGGUUGAAGGUUGGGUAACACUAACUGGAGGACCGAACCGACUAAUGUUGAAAAAUUAGCGGAUGACUUGUGGCUGGGGGUGAAAGGCCAAUCAAACCGGGAGAUAGCUGGUUCUCCCCGAAAGCU
rnacentral:rRNA from 1 species